rnacentral:rRNA from 1 species
GAUGAACGCUGGCGGCGUGCUUAACACAUGCAAGUCGAACGGUGAAGCAGGAGCUUGCUCUUGUGGAUCAGUGGCGAACGGGUGAGUAACACGUGAGCAACCUGCCCCUGACUCUGGGAUAAGCGCUGGAAACGACGUCUAAUACUGGAUAUGUGAUGUGACCGCAUGGUCUGCAUCUGGAAAGAAUUUCGGUUGGGGAUGGGCUCGCGGCCUAUCAGCUUGUAGGUGAGGUAAUGGCUCACCAAGGCGUCGACGGGUAGCCGGCCUGAGAGGGUGACCGGCCACACUGGGACUGAGACACGGCCCAGACUCCUACGGGAGGCAGCAGUGGGGAAUAUUGCACAAUGGGCGGAAGCCUGAUGCAGCAACGCCGCGUGAGGGAUGACGGCCUUCGGGUUGUAAACCUCUUUUAGCAGGGAAGAAGCGAAAGUGACGGUACCUGCAGAAAAAGCACCGGCUAACUACGUGCCAGCAGCCGCAGUAA